AUUGAACGCUGGCGGCAGGCCUAACACAUGCAAGUCGAACGAGUGGCGGACGGGUGAGUAAUGUCUGUGAAACUGCCUGAUGGAGGGGGAUAACUACUGGAAACGGUAGCUAAUACCGCAUACCAUCAGAUGUGCCCAGGUGGGAUUAGCUAGUUGGUGGGGUAACGGCUCACCAAGGCGACGAUCCCUAGCUGGUCUGAGAGGAUGACCGGCCACACUGGAACUGAGACACGGUCCAGACUCCUACGGGAGGCAGCAGUGGGGAAUCUUGCGCAAUGGACGCAAGCCUGAUGCAGCCAUGCCGCGUGUAUGAAGAAGGCCUUCGGGUUGUAAAGUACUUUCAGCGGGGAGGCGGUACCUGCAGAAAAAGCAACGGCUAACUACGUGCCAGCAGCCGCGGUAAUUC
rnacentral:rRNA from 1 species